CGCCUGCCCUGUGACAAAGGUUUAACGGCCGCGGUAUUUUGACCGUGCAAAGGUAGCGCAAUCACUUGUCCUUUAAAUGAAGACCUGUAUGAAUGGCAUCACGAGGGCUUAACUGUCUCCUUUUUCCAGUCAAUGAAAUUGAUCUCCCCGUGCAGAAGCGGGGAUAAAGCCAUAAGACGAGAAGACCCUAUGAAGCUUUAGACGCAAGACAGAUCUUGUUAAACACUUCAAAAUAAAGAAAUAAACUUAAAGAACCCUACUCCGAUGUCUUUGGUUGGGGCGACCACGGGGAAACAAAAAACCCCCAUGCGGACUGAGAAAACAAUUCUCACAACCAAGAGCCACAGCUCUAAUUAACAGAAUUUCUGACCUUUAGAUCCGGCAAUGCCGAUCAACGGACCGAGUUACUCUAGGGAUAACAGCGCAAUCCCCUCUUAGAGCUCCUAUCGACGAGGGGGUUUACGACCUCGAUGUUGGAUCAGGACAUCCUAAUGGUGCAGCAGCUAUUAAAGGUUCGUUUGUUCAACGAUUAAAGUCCU
rnacentral:rRNA from 1 species